rnacentral:rRNA from 1 species
CAUCCAAGGAAGGCAGCAGGCGCGCAAAUUACCCAAUCCCGACACGGGGAGGUAGUGACAAUAAAUACUGAUACAGGGCUCUUUUGGGUCUUGUAAUCGGAAUGAGUACAAUUUAAACCUCUUAACGAGGAACAAUUGGAGGGCAAGUCUGGUGCCAGCAGCCGCGGUAAUUCCAGCUCCAAUAGCGUAUAUUAAAGUUGUUGCAGUUAAAAAGCUCGUAGUUGAAUCUUGGGCCUGGCUGGCCGGUCCGCCUCACCGCGUGUACUGGUCUGGCCGGGCCUUUCCUUCUGGAGAACCUCAUGCCCUUCAGUGGGUGUGUUGGGGAACCAGGACUUUUACUUUGAAAAAAUUAGAGUGUUCAAAGCAGGCCUUUGCUCGAAUACGUUAGCAUGGAAUAAUAGAAUAGGACGUGCGGUCCUAUUUUGUUGGUUUCUAGGACCGCCGUAAUGAUUAAUAGGGAUAGUCGGGGGCAUCAGUAUUCAAUUGUCAGAGGUGAAAUUCUUGGAUUUAUUGAAGACUAACUACUGCGAAAGCAUUUGCCAAGGAUGUUUUCAUUAAUCAGUGAACGAAAGUUAGGGGAUCGAAGACGAUCAGAUACCGU